GUUUAUUUUGUGUCUGUAUUUUGUCUCAAAACCACUCACUCGGGUAUUUGACAUCAGGCACCCUGUGCCUCUUCCCUGCCUGUGCCUUCCCUAGUCAGCCCAGGGAACUGCACCUCCUGCUCCGAGGUUCAGCUGCUGCCCAUCUGUCUGGACAGGUGGUGAAAGGACAGCAUCAGCUUGCUGCUGGAGGCCGUGCGGACCAGAAAUGAGGAGCUCGCCCAGACAUGGAAGAGGUCUGAGCAGUGGGCCACCAUCGAGCAGCUGUGCAGCACAGUUGGCGGGCAGCUCCCAGGUCUCCAUGAGUACGGCGCCGUCGGGGGCUCCACACACACGGCCACUGCAGCCAUGUGGGCCUGUCAGCACUGCACGUUCAUGAACCAGCCAGGCACAGGCCACUGCGAGAUGUGCAGCCUCCCCAGGACCUAGGGCGCCUGCCCUCUGCUGGCUAGGACCGGGCCCAGCCCAGCCCUUCCUGAAGCCAGAAGCGUUGCUGAGUGUGUUCCCUGUAACUGCCCCAUAGUGGGCAGCCCUGGAGGAACAAGGGGCUGGCUGUCCUGGGC
rnacentral:lncRNA from 1 species